ensembl:piRNA 21ur-1826 ncRNA
UGCAAUAAUCACGCUGCGAUU